rnacentral:lncRNA from 1 species
GGAACUACAUAGACGGGAAGAGGUGAGGGUGCGGAGGUGGAGGAGGUGAGGGGAGGAAAAAGAGAAAGAGAGAGAAUGGGAAAGAGAAAGAGAGAGGGGUAAAAAACCGUUAUAAGAAGAUGGAGAGAUGUGAAAGAAGGCUUAAUGAAGAGAUGGGAAGAUGGAGGGAUACAAAACGGUUCAAUAAAGUAUUGGGGAUUAAUAUUUGUAACGUUAUGAGAAGAUGAAGGGAUGUGAAAGAAUGUUUAAGAGAGAGAUGGGAAGAUGAAGGGACACAAAACGAUUCAAUAAAAAAUACAAAAAAUACUCCAAAAAAAGAAGGUUGUGCCACCUCAGCAAAAAGUAUUGGGGAUUAAUAGAUGUUUAUAGAUAUUUUCAAUUUAUUCAUCAAUUCUCUAUUUCUCAUCUUUUACUAUACACCAUCGCUUCUUUCCCUCACUCCCUCUUUCCCUCUCACGAAUGCACGCCCACUUUCUUCUUUUGCCGU